CCUACUUUUUAAUAGGUGCAGGUGCAUGUGCGUGCGCAUGUGCAUAUGUGUGUUGCUGGGGAUGGAACCCAGGGUCUCUCGUAUGCUAAACCACACCAGCAGUAUUUCUUUUUGUCCCGUGUGUGGUGAGGACCACAGGGAUGACAGUGAGUCACCUCUACCUCCUCCUAAAUUCUUUGAGGACAUGCAGUUGGAUUUAGGGCUGGCUGAACAUUAUUUCUGUGUGCCAGAAAGCUGUGUGAACAUAGAUAUUACUCAUCUAAGCUUCCAGCAGCUCUGCCAGAUCGGUACCACCAAAACCGUGGCACAGAUGGGACCACAGAAGUAUAGAGACAGUGGUACAUUUCCUACUGGUCUGUUUCCUCUGCCCUUCCCAGGGCUGUCAAGGAUCAGGCCAGGGCUCCCACAUUGAAGCCCAGACCUCCACCCAGCUUCCUGCACCUCUCAGCUACCCACACCCCAAGGGCAAGCAGAAGCAGAUACAUCAACCCCUUUCCCAGCUGGAGUCAACCUGGACAGCAGGGUUUAGGGGAAUGAAGGGGAUAUGAAGGCAGCCCCGGUUUGUAGGGUUUGUGGGGGCUGAUCACAAAGGUCACUGGUCUGCAGGGAUGGAGAGAGGGGAGAGGUGGAUCAGGUGGGAUCAAGAACAGAGCUAAGUCUGGAGGGACAAGAGCCAAUCUUAGGCUGGUCUGAAGGAAACAGAGUCUGCUUAAGGAGUGAAUAUCCGGAAGAUGAAGUUCAGGUACCGGCUUCCCGAUGCCACCUGCUUCCAUAAAUAUGAUAGAACUGAAGCUUGGAGGUAAGGCAGCUGGUAGCCUGCACAGGUCUACUUGCAAGAUGUGGGGAGGGAAGUUGUGGAAUACCCCUUCCCCAGCUGCCUGGCCCAGUCCUUGAGGAGUGUGAGCUAUGCAACUGAGGAGCCACCAGGCUCUCAGCAAAGGAGGAAUGACCUUGGGGUGGUUUUGGGGGAUGGUCACCUUGGCAUUGGUGUUCCAGAGGAUUAUUGGGAUGGGAAAAUGGAUGGGCAGGGGGAAAUGGGGGGAAGCUGUUUUAGGGAUGUGGUUCCUGCUGGUCUCUUCCCCCCGUUGCUCAGCGAGCUCCUGAGGACGGUUGUCCCUUUCAGGACAUCACAGCAGGUACCAGAAGUACCAAACACUGGACCGGACUCAGGGAAUGGUCUACUUUCACUUUCUGUUGCCGUGAUAUAACAUCCGGCCAAAAGCCGACUCAAGGGGAAAAUGGUUUAUUGGGCUCACAAUUCCAGGUCACAGCCCUUUGUUGUAGGCAAGUCAAGCAGGCAGGACUUGACGCAGCUAGUCACAUCCACAGUCAAGGGCAGAGAGAGAACGGAUGCAUGUAUGCUCAGCUCACUUUCAAUACUCUUAGACAGUCCAGAACCCAAACUGGGGGAGUGGUGCCGCCCAGAGAGGGCUGGGUCUUCCCACAUCACUUAAUAUAAUCAAGUGUGGCGAUACUUUGUGCUCUAACAAAGCAAACUUGCCUGGAAAUCAGAGUACGGAGCUAGCUAGCCGCUAGAGGCCAGGCAGUGGUGGCACACACCUUUAAUCCCAGCACUUGGGAGGAGGAAACAGGAAGUGGUAUGGCUGGGUGGAGAGAGGAAGUGAUAAGGUGGGGUGGAGACAGGAGCUCGGCCCCUUUUGUCUGAGGAUUUGGUAGAGGUAAGAAGUCUCUCUUACUGAUCUUUCAGGAUUUACCCCAAUAUCUGGCUCUGGGUUUUUAUUAUUAAGACCAAUUAGAAUUCACACUAUAAUCAAGACAGUCUCCUACAGACAUUCCCAUAGGCUAACCUGAUUUAGGCAAUUUUUCAUUAACUCUCUUAACAAGUGAUUCUAGACUGCGUCAAGUUGACAGCUGAAACUCACCCAUCGCUGGGGAGGUGAGCGGAGCAAACCUUGUAAGGAUGGGAAUCAGCUCUUCCUCCUCCAGCCAGGGUCCUGUUAUAAGUGCCUGACCACAGACACCAAAAGCUUUCAGCAAGGACAAGUUCAUCAUUCACUGUGUUCCCAAGACCAUGCUCCGGGCGUUCUGUUACGACAGUGGUGUAGACCACAGCCACCAGAGCAGCAGUAGGUAAAAUGAGGCUCAGAGGCUGUGGGCUCCUCCCAGUCAGUGUUGGAAGAGGCUGUGGAGUGCAGAGCCAGCCUUAAAGCUUUGUCUCAAUGACCCAGAAGCCAUCCCACUCUCCUGCCCCCAUGGAUCCUAUGGCAACCCCGCAGUGGCAGUCUAAAGGCCACACCACAGGUGAAGAGACCAGAGUCCAUACAGCCGGUCCAAGCAGGCCAACCGGAGCCCAGCACAGGUCUGGGCAUUGUCCCAUUUUGUCUCCAAUUCUGGAGGUGUCCGGUGGAGGCUGGGCCCAGUACCUUGAGGCCCAAUAAAGAAGAAGGCUGACCUCCAAUUUUCCCUCUUUCAGAGUCCCUAUCUCUUUGGACACAGAACCUCCUCAAACAGACACCUAAACUUCUCCCCCUGUGUCAAUGUUUCAUUACUGUGACACAAUAAUCGGAGUAAAAUAACUUAAAAGAAGAAAGAGUUACUGUUUUGUUCAUAGUUUCCACGGUUUACUGACUUUUUAGGGUCAUUGGGGGUGCAGUACUAGGGACUGAAUGUAGGGUCUGCCCACCUCAUGGCAGUAAAGAAGAAAGAGGUAAGGGAGAGAGAGAGAGAGAGAGAGAGAGAGAGAGAGAGAGAGAGAGAGAGAGAGAGAGAGAGAGAGAGAGAGAGAGAGAGAGAGAGAGAGAGAGAGAGAGAGAGAGAGAGAGAGAGAGAGCGCACUAUAGAAACCAGGGAUAAGAUCUACUAUUCCGAGGCAUGCCCCACAGUGACCCACUUCCUCCAAGUAGGUCCUACCUCUGGAACCCAAGCCCAUUCAGCUCGGAACUCAUCAUCAAUGGGUUAAUCCAUUGAUAAAGCUAACGGCUUCCUAUGCUUAUCACCCCUGAUAGUGCCAUGAGCUGAGGACUAAGUCUUCACCUAUGUACUGGGUGGGGGCACUUCCUAUCCAAACCACAAGCCCAUCUGAAGUGACACCCUCACCAAUGAGGGUCACAGCCAGAGCCGGGUGACAAGAUCCAAGGCCCCCGAACAGCCAACAGCUGCCGCUGCCUUCCUUCCUGCGUCUGUCUGGGCUUCAGUCUGGCCCUUUUUGGGUGGGAAAGCAAAGUGUACCAGGAGGAUCUUCACCUGACUGUGGAAAGGGCCUUAGGCCCUCUCUCCAAACGACUCUCAUGUGUCACUGGGUUUGCUGAGCACCUACUGUGCGCCAAGAUGGAAACCUGGAGAUGAAGCUGUCAGAGGUGGCCCCUCUCUUCCCAGAGAGCUUGCUUGGUUCAGGGAAGGUGGGUUUGAGAGGGCCAGAUAAAACCUAGACUGGAGGCAGCCUAA